GUAUUUUUAGUAUAAUAAGUAUGAUAAAUUUAGUAUUUAUUGGUUAUAGGAUAUA
rnacentral:tRNA from 1 species